rnacentral:rRNA from 1 species
GACAGAGGGUGCAAACGUUUGUUCGGAAUUACUGGGCGUAAAGGGCUCGUAGGCGGCCAACUAAGUCGGAUGUGAAAUCCCCAGGCUUAACCUGGGAACUGCAUCCGAUACUGGAUGGCUUGAAUCCGGGAGAGGGAUGCAGAAUUCCAGGUGUAGCGGUGAAAUGCGUAGAUAUCUGGAGGAAUACCGGUGGCGAAGGCGGCAUCCUGGACCGGCAUUGACGCUGAUGAGCGAAAGCUAGGGGAGCAAACGGG